GGUAAGGUCCCCUUCGGGGGACACACGAGUGGCGAACGGGUGAGUAACACGUGGGCAACCUGCCCCUCACAUCGGGAUAACCACCGGAAACGGUGGCUAAUACCGGAUACUCCGGCGAGAUCGCAUGGUCUUGCCGGGAAAGCUCCGGCGGUGAGGGAUGGGCCCGCGGCCCAUUAGCUUGUUGGUGGGGUAAUGGCCUACCAAGGCGACGAUGGGUAGCCGAGCUGAGAGGCUGAUCGGCCACACUGGGACUGAGACACGGCCCAGACUCCUACGGGAGGCAGCAGUGGGGAAUCUUGCGCAAUGGGCGAAAGCCUGACGCAGCAACGCCGCGUGCGGGAUGAAGGCCUUCGGGUUGUAAACCGCUUUCAGCAGGGAUGAAACUGACAGUACCUGCAGAAGAAGCCCCGGCUAACUACGUGCCAGCAGCCGCGGUAAUACGUAGGGGGCGAGCGUUAUCCGGAUUCAUUGGGCGUAAAGCGCGCGUAGGCGGCUUGCUAAGUCAGAUGUGAAAACCGGGGGCUCAACCCGCGGCCUGCAUCUGAAACUGGCAGGCUUGAGUCUGGUAGAGGAAAGUGGAAUUCCUGGUGUAGCGGUGAUAUGCGCAGAUAUCAGGAGGAACACCAGUGGCGAAGGCGGCUUUCUGGGCCACGACUGACGCUGAGGCGCGAAAGCUAGGGGAGCAAACAGGAUUAGAUACCCUGGUAGUCCUAGCUGUAAACGAUGGGCACUANGUGUGGGGGGUCAUCGACUCCCUCCGUGCCGCANCUAACGCAUUAAGUGCCCCGCCUGGGGAGUACGGCCGCAAGGCUAA
rnacentral:rRNA from 1 species